rnacentral:rRNA from 1 species
GACGAACGCUGGCGGCGUGCCUAAUACAUGCAAGUCGAGCGAAUCAAUGGGAGCUUGCUCCCUGAGAUUAGCGGCGGACGGGUGAGUAACACGUGGGUAACCUGCCUGUAAGACUGGGAUAACUUCGGGAAACCGGAGCUAAUACCGGAUACUUUCUUUUCUCGCAUGAGGGAAGAUGGAAAGAUGGUUCUGCUAUCUCUUACAGAUGGACCCGCGGCGCAUUAGCUAGUUGGUGAGGUAAUGGCUCACCAAGGCAACGAUGCGUAGCCGACCUGAGAGGGUGAUCGGCCACACUGGGACUGAGACACGGCCCAGACUCCUACGGGAGGCAGCAGUAGGGAAUCUUCCGCAAUGGACGAAAGUCUGACGGAGCAACGCCGCGUGAGCGAAGAAGGCCUUCGGGUCGUAAAGCUCUGUUGUUAGGGAAGAACAAGUACGAGAGUAACUGCUCGUACCUUGACGGUACCUAACCAGAAAGCCACGGCUAACUACGUGCCAGCCGCCGCAGUAACAC